AUACUGGCGCUUAAGCUGGCAAUAUCGGCUUUAAUCUGUCCAGUACCACAUAUUUUGGAAAAUAAUAUUUUAAAGAUUGAUUUAUUAUUUUAAAAGGACAAAAAUAUUUUAGAAUUGAAAACCGGACACUAAUUUUAAAGGUUUUGGCCAAAAGUGGGCCAAACAGGCUAAAAACGCUAACGGGUUGGACCGAACCCAAGACCCAACAUAUAUAAGCUCAUUUCUUUUCCCCAAAUGAGAGAGAGCCGCGGUUUUGAGAUGAGAGGAGAAGAGGGGAGUGGUUACUAUUCAUCUCUACCUUUUGGGAGCCAUAACUUGAGUUACGGAACUCCGAUUGACGAGCCGUUUGCGGCUACGCGAAGCUCUCGUCGAGAUCUACAUUUCUAUCCAAGAAAACCUGGUGAUUUCUAGUAGCGGGUAAUUAUUGGAUGUUACCCAUACUCUUGUUGGAUAAGCUUGUUUUUGGAGUUGGUGGUGGCUUUUGGUUUGGCUUUGAUGGUUUGGAGCUUGGUAAAAGCUUGAUUGGAAUCAAGUUUGGUGUCGGAGCAUAGUGGGAAUCGGCCAAGGUCAAUUAGGCAAGAAUGAAUAGCCAAAAGUGGAAGAAAGCAUGUACAAGAGAGAAAACAUGAAGAAAACAAGGAAAAACACACAGAGCAAGGUGGGCGUGCGCACAAGCAAGCGUGCGUACGCACAAGACCGAUUCAGCCAAGUGUGUGUGCGCAUAGACCAGCGUGCGUACACACAAGAGGAAAUUUGCAUGUGUGCGUGCGCACAAGUACCUGUGCGUACGCAUAGGACCCUGCACGUGAUUUCAUUAAUGAAACGCGUGCUAUGUGUUUUAUGAGGCCUUUUGGCCCAAUUUUUGAAAGCUCAAGACUGAAAUGAAGUGCUAUAUGAAGGGGGAUUGAAGACAUAUGAAGGCAUUAGAGUAGAAGGCCACAUUUUUCAUUUUCUUAGCAUAGUAAUUAGGAUUAGG